rnacentral:rRNA from 1 species
AUUGAACGCUGGCGGCAGGCCUAACACAUGCAAGUCGAACGGAAACAGGAAACACCUUGCUGUUUCGCUGACGCGUGGCGCGCGGGUGUGUCAUGUCUGUGACACUCCCUGAUGGCGGGGGAUAACUACUGGAAACGGUGCCUAAUACCGCAUAACGUCGCAAGCCCAAAGAGGGGGACCUUCGGGCCUCUUGCCAUCGGCUUUGCCCAGGUCGGAUUAGCUAGUAGGUGGGGUAACGGCUUACCUAGGCCACGAUGCCUAGCUGGUCUGAGAGGAUGACCAGCCACACUGGAACUGAGACACGGUCCAGACUCCUACGGGAGGCAGCAGUGGGGAAUAUUGCGCAAUGGGCGAAAGCCUGAUGGAGCAACGCCGCGUGUGUGAUGAAGGCCUUCGGAUCGUAAAACUCUGUUAGCAGGGAAGAAGAGAGGAAUAAGUAACUAUGUGCGUAUUGACGUUACCCGAAGAAAAAGCCCCGGCUAACUACGUG